rnacentral:rRNA from 1 species
AUACGGAGGGUGCAAGCGUUGUCCGGAUUUAUUGGGUUUAAAGGGUGCGUAGGUGGUUUUUUAAGUCAGUGGUGAAAGCCUACAGCUUAACUGUAGAGGUGCCAUUGAAACUGGGGAACUUGAGUAUGGACGAGGUAGGCGGAAUUUGUGGUGUAGCGGUGAAAUGCAUAGAUACCACAAAGAACACCGAUAGCGAAGGCAGCUUACUAGGCCAUAACUGACACUGAGGCACGAAAGUGUGGGGAGCGAACAGGAUUAGAAACCCCGGUAGUCC